GUUCGUUGAGCCGGGGAAGUCAGCCAGCUUGAGGAUCUGCUGGGUGAUCUCACCGUAGAACUUGGCCGAGGUGUUGCUCAGGUGGCUCUCGACGUAGAUGAGCUCCUCAAGCUUGUCAAAGGAGCCGUCCAUCUCCAGGACGGAAAC
rnacentral:SRP_RNA from 12 species